rnacentral:lncRNA from 1 species
UUCUGCAUGAGGCUCAACAAGCUCAUGUCCGCCGGCGUCAGCUCCGGCAGCGGCGUAUCGCCGUCGAGGUACUGCAUGACCUGCCUCAUGGUAGGCCUCUCACCGGGGAACGGGUGGGAACACAUGAGCCCAAGCAUCAGCACCAUCCUGGCCUCAUCAACGUUGUAGUUUCCCUGCAGCCUGGAGUCCACGGUCUCCUCCAGCGAGCCCCUGUGCCAGCACUCGAGCACCCGGUCAACCAGCAACUUCCGGCCAUGGUGCACGGUGUCGACGAGCACCGGGCGCCGGCCGCAGGUGACCUCGAGCAGGAACGUGCCGAAGGCGUACACGUCGGUGAGAGGGGACGCCUUGCCGGUCCUCGCGAGCUCCGGCGCGAUGUACCCCAUGGUGCCGACCACGUGCGUGGUCUGCAGGUCGGCGCCGUGGUCGUACAGCCUUGCGAGGCCGAAGUCGCCGAGGUGCGCGACCAUGGCGCCGUCGAGGAGCACGUUGCUGGCCUUGACGUCGCGGUGGACGACCACCUGCUCCCACUUCUCGUGGAGGUAGAAGAGGCCCGACGCCACGUCCUUGACGAUUUGGAGCCGCUGCGCCCACUCCAGCAGCGGCUUGUCGUCCUCGCCGUAGAGGUACUUGUCGAGGCUGGCGUUGGGCAUGUAGUCGUAGACGAGGAGCAGCUCGCGGUGCUUCCGGCGGCAGUAGCCGAGCAGCUGCACGAGGUUGCGGUGGCGGAGGUGGCCGAUGCUGACCACCUCGGAGAUGAACUCCCUCAGCCCCUGGGAGGAGUCGUGGGAGACCCUCUUGACGGCGACCUCCGUGCCGGAAUUGGGGAGGACGCCCUUGUACACCUUGCCGAAGCCGCCGGCGCCGAGUAGGUGCUUGCUCUUGAACCCUUCCGUCGCCUGGAACAGGUCCUUGUACGAGAACCGGUGCGGCCCGAACUCGACCUCCCAGUCUUCUCGCAGCUCCGCGUAUGUGAGGUGCCUCCGGACUAGGAGGAUGGCUGUGAUGCAGGUGGUCAGGAUGAAGACGAAGGCUGCUAUCGGCAGCCCGAUCUCCAAGCCUUUCACCCCGCCAGCAGCUUCGUGGUGGUGGCUGGAGUUGGAGUUGGAGUUGGAGUUGGAGUUGGGCAGCUUGGGGAUCUUGGUGAAAUCAAUCGGUGGAGCAGGCCCGUUCACGGCGAAGCUCCAGGCGAGCACGCAGUGCUGCGAACCGCCAGGUCCGGUUGCGCCGGAGAAGCCAACGAAAGCCUUGUCGUCGGUGAUCACAGGUGAGAGGUCGGUGGUGUUUGAGAGCAGCGGUUUCGACGGCUUCGUCACUCCCAUGGGAGCCAGGGUGACAUUGAGCUGUUUGCUCUGGCCAUCAUAGUCUACCCAAGCUUGCAUGGCCUUGCCAUGACUGCUAAUGAGACUGAAGGUCGUGAGCGCACCGUCGUCGGUUUCGUCGUGGAAGGCGGCGGUGUGAGAAUACACGGAGGAGAGCGCGUUGAUGUCGACGCCGACAUGGUUGGCGUCGAUGUCGUGGAACUCGUUGUUCUUGAUGGUGUCGAGCUCCACGGCGAAGAAGUGGUCGCUGCUGGGGCCGUUAUUGCUGCUCGUCGUGCUGUUGAGCAAGCCCAAGCCCAAGUACUGAGCCCCCGACGCGUUGGAGAAAUCCUUGCCGGGGGCGAUGACGAAGGCCAUACCAUCAGAACUGAAAUCGGAGUAGGCAGACAUGAUGGCGAAGACGAAGGCGACGGAGAAGGACUGCACCGUGCCAUUGGAGGAGUCCUUGAACUGAACCGGGUUCCGGUAGAACGCGUGGCCUUUGGAAUCAGUCUCGUUGUUCGUCAGCUCGAGGAGUCCUUCCCCGGUGACUGUGCCGUCGCCGUCGAGGGUGAUGAGGUCGGCAUCGGCACCGCCGGCGGGGAAGCCGGAGAAGACAAAGGACUCGUUGCCGGCAUCACCGAACCCCGGAAGGUUGAGGCCGAGGCACAGGAGGACGAAGGCUACAAGGAAGGAGGACAUGGGAAGAAGAAGAUUCAUGUCUAGAUCGACUGUGUGAGAACUGAGAACUCAACCAAUGCAAGACUAGCUAUAAAUUCACAAUGUAUUAUAGUACUCUUCACCGCUGUGACUCAUUAGUUUCUAGUCUACCUUCUUUUACUCCGUUGCUAGCUUCUUGACGACUUUUUUUUACAGCGAUUGCCGGCGGCUACAGCAACUUGUAAGGCGACGGGUAGACGACCGGAGACUAGCAGCACGCCCCGGGGUCGUCGUGAGUCGUGACUCGACUCGUGUUGCACAUGUGGUGGACAUCAUCUGAAUUUAAUUCCCUGAAUAUAACGUGGUUGUGUUUCACCAUUAAAAUAUAUAUAUAAUGUGAUUGUUAGAAGACAAAGCUAGCUUGUCCUUUUGUGCUGUAUGUACUAAAUUUUGCC